rnacentral:pre_miRNA from 15 species
ACUGGCACCGAUACGGACAGUGCACUCCUCCAUAAAGUAGAAAGCACUACUAAACCGCCGCGUCCCGUGUAGUGUUUCCUACUUUAUGGAUGAGUGUACUGUGAGCAACGGGACGAGAGA